rnacentral:rRNA from 1 species
GUCAAUCUAACCUAUGGACGGGGAUAAUCUCGGGAAACUGAGGAUAAACCCCGAUAGAUCAUUAUGCCUGGAACGGUUUAUGGUCUAAAUGAUUCGUCGCCGUAGGGUGGGACUGCGGCCUAUCAGCUUGUUGGUGAGGUAAUGGCCCACCAAGGCUAUUACAGGUACGGGCUCUGAGAGGAGAAGCCCGGAGAUGGGUACUGAGACACGGACCCAGGCCCUAUGGGGCGCAGCAGGCGAGAAACCUUUGCAAUGUGCGCAAGCACGACAAGGUUAAUCCGAGUGUUUCCUGCUAAAGGAAUCUUUUGUUAGUUGUAAAACCACUGAUGAAUAAGGGGUGGGCAAGUUCUGGUGUCAGCCGCCGCGGUAAAACCAGCACCUCAAGUGGUCAGGAUGAUUAUUGGGCCUAAAGCAUCCGUAGCCUGUUCUAUAAGUUUCCGGUUAAAUCCAUUAGCUCAACUAAUGGGCUGCCGAAAAUACUGUAGAACUAGGGAGUGGGAGAGGUAGACGGUACUCGGUAGGAAGGGGUAAAAUCCUUUGAUCUAUUGAUGACCACCUGUGGCGAAGGCGGUCUACCAGAACACGUUCGACGGUGAGGGAUGAAAGCUGGGGGAGCAAACCGGAUUAGAUACCCGGGUAGUCCCAGCUGUAAACGAUGCAGACUCGGUGAUGCCCUGGCUUGUGGCCAGUGCAGUGCCGCAGGGAAGCCGUUAAGUUUGCCGCCUGGGAAGUACGUACGCAAGUAUGAAACUUAAAGGAAUUGGCGGGGGAGCACCACAAGGGGUGAAGCCUGCGGUUC